CUUUCUUUGCUGGCGACCGGCGCACGGGUGAGUAACACGUAUCCAACCUGCCCUUUACUCGGGGAUAGCCUUUCGAAAGAAAGAUUAAUACCCGAUAGCAUAAUGAUUCCGCAUGGUUUCAUUAUUAAAGGAUCCGGUAAAGGAUGGGGAUGCGUUCCAUUAGGUUGUUGGUGAGGUAACGGCUCACCAAGCCUUCGAUGGAUAGGGGUUCUGAGAGGAAGGUCCCCCACAUUGGGACUGAGAUACGGCCCAGACUCCUACGGGAGGCAGCAUG
rnacentral:rRNA from 1 species